rnacentral:rRNA from 1 species
GACGAACGCUGGCGGCGUGCCUAAUACAUGCAAGUAGAACGCUGAAGGAGGAGCUUGCUCUUCUGGAUGAGCUGCGAACGGGUGAGUAACGCGUAGGUAACCUGCCUGGUAGCGGGGGAUAACUAUUGGAAACGAUAGCUAAUACCGCAUAACAGUAGAUGUUGCAUGACAUUUACUUAAAAGGUGCAAUUGCAUCACUACCAGAUGGACCUGCGUUGUAUUAGCUAGUUGGUGGGGUAACGGCUCACCAAGGCGACGAUACAUAGCCGACCUGAGAGGGUGGUGGGCCAACCGGGGACUGAGACACGGCCCAGACUCCUACGGGAGGCAGCAGUAGGGAAUUUUCGGAAAGGGACGGAAGUCUGACCGAGCAACGCCGGGGGAGGAAAGAAGGUUUUGGGAUCGUAAAGCUCUUUUGGAAGGGAAGAAGGGGUGGGGGGGGGGAAAGUCCAAACUGGGAAGGGUUUUUACCAAAAAGGGGCGGCAAACUACGG